AGUCGAGGGGCAGCAUGAACUUAGCUUGCUAAGUUUGAUGGCGACCGGCUCACGGGUGAGUAACACGUAUCCAACCUGCCGAUGACUCGGGGAUAGCCUUUCGAAAGAAAGAUUAAUACCCGAUGGCAUAGUUCUUCCGCAUGGUAGGACUAUUAAAGAAUUUCGGUCAUCGAUGGGGAUGCGUUCCAUUAGCUUGUUGGCGGGGUAACGGCCCACCAAGGCAUCGAUGGAUAGGGGUUCUGAGAGGAAGGUCCCCCACAUUGGAACUGAGACACGGUCCAAACUCCUACGGGAGGCAGCAGUGAGGAAUAUUGGUCAAUGGGCGCUAGCCUGAACCAGCCAAGUAGCGUGAAGGAUGACUGCCCUAUGGGUUGUAAACUUCUUUUAUAUGGGAAUAAAGUGCAGUAUGUAUACUGCUUUGCAUGUACCUUAUGAAUAAGGAUCGGCUAACUCCGUGCCAGCAGCCGCGGUAAUACGGAGGAUCCGAGCGUUAUCCGGAUUUAUUGGGUUUAAAGGGAGCGUAGGCGGGUUGUUAAGUCAGUUGUGAAAGUUUGCGGCUCAACCGUAAAAUUGCAGUUGAUACUGGCAUCCUUGAGUACAGUAGAGGUAGGCGGAAUUCGUGGUGUAGCGGUGAAAUGCUUAGAUAUCACGAAGAACUCCGAUUGCGAAGGCAGCCUGCUGGACUGUAACUGACGCUGAUGCUCGAAAGUGUGGGUAUCAAACAGGAUUAGAUACCCUGGUAGUCCACACAGUAAACGAUGAAUACUCGCUGUUUG
rnacentral:rRNA from 1 species